rnacentral:rRNA from 1 species
GACGAACGCUGGCGGCGUGCCUAAUACAUGCAAGUAGAACGCACAGUUUAUACCGUAGCUUGCUACACCAUAAACUGUGAGUUGCGAACGGGUGAGUAACGCGUAGGUAACCUGCCUGGUAGCGGGGGAUAACUAUUGGAAGCGAUAGCUAAUACCGCAUAAUAUUGAUUAUUGCAUGAUAAUUGAUUGAAAGAUGCUAUUGCAUCACUACCAGAUGGACCUGCGUUGUAUUAGCUAGUAGGUGAGGUAACGGCUCACCUAGGCGACGAUACAUAGCCGACCUGAGAGGGUGAUCGGCCACACUGGGACGGAGACACGGCCCAGAAUCCUACGGGAGGCAGCAGUAGGGAAUCUUCGGCAAUGGACGAAAGUCUGACCGAGCAACGCCGCGGGAGGGAAGAAGGGUGUCGGAUCGGAAAGCUCUGUUGUAAGAGAAGAACGGGUGUGAGAGUGGAAAGUUCACACUGUGACGGUAUCUUACCAGAAAGGGACGGCUAACUACGUG